AGUUGACGUGGGAUUUCACCAUAUUGGCCAGGCUGGUCUCGAACUCCUGACCUCGUGAUCCACUGGCUUCUGCCUCCCAAAGUGCUGGGAUUACAGGUGUGAGCCACCACACUGGCUUACCAAGGCAGACAAGUUCAUCUUCAAGAAAACUAAGAGAUCUCUUCCCCUGACAAAAAACAACUCCAUGUUUGAUGGGACUCAGACCUGGGCUCUUCUGUCACCUCUAGGUAGGGAGGUCUUGGAGAGCAAGUGAGACCAGAGUGUUCAUGGAAAGUCACCAUCCACAGACAUUGGAAAAAUAGUCAUUCCCAAUUUCUGCUAUGUGAUCCCGUUUAGGAGUCACCCUACCAAGUGGGUAUGAUGAUGAAGGUGAGCUGCUAAGAAAGAGGUUGAGAGACAGCUGAUGUUUGUUUCAAGCAAAUCUUCUUUAACCCGAGGCACCAGGAGCAGAGGGCCAGUGGGUAAAAAGGUUAAGUAGGAUGGAAUCUACAAUAAAGCCAAAUGUGUGGGUUCUAUUGCUGAUCUUGUCGUUAUUUUGGAUUUUUGGAGUGGAGAUGAAAUGAAAAUGUUUGUUUUGUAUCUACCUGCCCAGGAUGUAAGUAAGAGGGAAGAACAAGACUCUAGGAGAGAAAUAGAGGCUCCCCUAAAAAAACACCUUAAGUAAAUGUCAGGUGAUGUCACCCAUAAAGUCUUCCAGCCAUAAUAAUUUCACCUGAAAGCUAUUUAUUUUGGAAACAGACAGAAAGCCCUGUCUGUUCCACUUUAAAGUUUCACAUUAAUACUCCCUCAUUUUCCGAUGUUAGAAUACUUCCAGGACUAUAGGUGAAAUAAGUCUACUAGAAGAUUAGCCAAACAUCUGUUUGUCUACAUAGUGACCCUUACAGCAUCAAAAUUUUCUUUGACUCUUCCAUGUAAAGAAUUAUGAAAAAUAUAGUAAUACUUCUAAAAAAAUUUCACAAGAAGGUUUUUUUUUUUUUUUUUUUUUUUU
rnacentral:lncRNA from 1 species